rnacentral:lncRNA from 1 species
UGAUUGCAGCAUUCAACCUGAUGUGAAUAGUGAAUUUUAAUGUAGCUAAGCAAGCUAGGAAUAGUGACCAGACUUGUUCCAAAGCUCUGUGCAACAGUCAUCAUAUCUGUCCUAUCUUCUCUCUUCUCUUGGAUUGCACCUUAGAGCAAGAUCUAGAAAUUCUUGAAGCAGAGAUCUUGCAACUGCAUCUCUGCUUCAUUGUCCCCUUCGCCUGUAAUUUUCUGAUCAACAUAAUGUUCGCCUGGUCCUCCUGAAAACAGAGUGACUUUACUACACCUAUUUAAAUGAUUCGCGGGAACUUUAGUCUGAUGGAAGCACAGAAUGAGGAUCAUUGUUCUGUUCGAUGAUGGAUACCUAUAUCUGAUCUUCUUAUGGUAGGAGAUUCCUAAUCAUUGUGAUAUGUGCUUCUUUUCCCAUGAUAUUCUUUGGAUGCUUUACAUCAUAUAGUCUUUCUUAGAUUGAAUAACCUUUCAGCCGAAUUAGGACCAUGAGUUGCCUCGUUUCAAUUACUUCCCCUUGCCAACUAUCAGUUCACUCAGAGUCUGAAUUCUCAUCUUAUUUCUUAUACAUUCCUUGACUUCCU